rnacentral:lncRNA from 1 species
UUUAGUUUAGCGCAGGAUGUCUGUGUUUGUGCGUGAUUAUGUUUCUUGUCCGUUUUGUGUGCUUGAGGAACGUGUGCUGUUUUUCCUCUUCCUGUGGUUGGUUUCGUUGUGUUCACCACCGCAGAAGUAUUUAAGUGCUGCGUCCCUAUUUUUGGCGACCAUAUCUACUUUCUGGAAUAAAGAAGUGUGGUCAAGAAUUCUCUGUCUCCUGCGCCUGACUCUACCUCUCCUGCUUUCUUGAGCCAGCCCGUGACAGGUACAUGGUGUUUGUAUUGGUAAGGUCUACAGUAUAUGGACUGGUACAUGGUGUGUAUAUUGGUAAGAUCUACAGUAUAUGGACUGGUACAUGGUGUUUGUAUUGGUAAGGCCUACAGUAUAUGGACUGGUAAUGAUGUUUGUAUUGGUACGGUCUACAGCAUAUGGACUGGUACAUGAUGUGUAUAUUGGUAAGGUCUACAGUAUAUGGACUGGUACAUGGUGUAUGUAUUGGUAAGGCCUACAGUAUAUGGACUGGUACAUGGUGUGUAUAUUGGUUAUGUCUACAGCGUAUGGACUGGUACAUCGUUUGUAUAUUGGUAAGGCCUACAGUAUAUGGACUGGUACAUGGUGUGUAUAUUGGCAAGGUCUACAGUAUAUGGACUGGUACAUGGUGUGUAUAUUGGUUAUGUCUACAGUAUAUGGACUGGUUCAUGGUGUUUGUAUUGGUAAGGCCUACUGUAGAUGGACUGGUACAUGGUGAUUGUAUUGGUAAUGUCUACAGAAUAUGGACUGGAACAUGGUGUUUGUAUUGGUAAGGUCUACAGUAUAUGGACUGGUCCAUGGUGUUUGAAUUGGUAAAUUCUACAGUAUAUGGACUUUUAAAUGGUGUGUAUAUUGGUAAGAUCUACAUUAUAUGGACUGGUACUUGGUGUUUCUAUUGGUAAGGUUUACAGUAUAUGGACUGGUCCAUGGUGUUUAUAUUGGUAAGGUCUACAGUAUAUGGACAGGUACAUGGUGUGUAUAUUGGUAAG